GAUGAACGCUAGCGAUAGGCCUAACACAUGCAAGUCGAGGGGCAGCACAUGAGUAGCAAUACGAUGGUGGCGACCGGCGCACGGGUGAGUAACACGUAUGCAACCUACCUCUAACAGGGGGAUAACCCGUUGAAAGACGGACUAAUACCCCAUAAUACAGGGGCUCCGCAUGGAGAUAUUUGUUAAAGAUUUUAUCGGUUAGAGAUGGGCAUGCGUUCCAUUAGCUAGUUGGUGAGGUAACGGCUCACCAAGGCGACGAUGGAUAGGGGAACUGAGAGGUUUAUCCCCCACACUGGAACUGAGACACGGUCCAGACUCCUACGGGAGGCAGCAGUGAGGAAUAUUGGUCAAUGGAGGCAACUCUGAACCAGCCAAGUCGCGUGAAGGAUGAAGGUCUUAUGGAUUGUAAACUUCUUUUGCAGGGGAAUAAAUAGCGGUACGUGUACCGUUUUGCAUGUACCCUGCGAAUAAGGAUCGGCUAACUCCGUGCCAGCAGCCGCGGUAAUACGGAGGAUCCGAGCGGUAUCCGGAUUUAUUGGGU
rnacentral:rRNA from 1 species